rnacentral:tRNA from 1 species
GGGUCGUUGGCAUAGUGGCUGUGCAGGAGCCUUUUAAGCUUCAGAGCUGGGUUCGAUCCCCAGACGGCCUA